rnacentral:rRNA from 1 species
CACGUAGGUGGCAUGAUAAGUCACAGGUGAAAGCCCUCGGCUCAACCGAGGAACUGCCUGUGAAACUGUCUUGCUUGAGUCCGGGAGGGGGGAGCGGAAUUCCCAGUGUAGCGGUGAAAUGCGUAGAUACUGGGAGGAACACCGGUGGCGAAGGCGGCUCCCUGGACCGGUACUGACACUGAGGUGCGAAAGCGUGGGUAGCAAACAGGAUUAGAUACCCUGGUAGUCC